rnacentral:rRNA from 1 species
UACGAAGGGAGCUAGCGUUGUUCGGAAUCACUGGGCGUAAAGCGCACGUAGGCGGAUUUGCCAGUCAGGGGUGAAAUCCCGGGGCUCAACCUCGGAACUGCCUUUGAUACAGCAAGUCUUGAGUUCGAGAGAGGUGGGUGGAAUUCCUAGUGUAGAGGUGAAAUUCGUAGAUAUUAGGAAGAACACCGGUGGCGAAGGCGGCCCACUGGCUCGACACUGACACUGAGGUGCGAAAGCGUGGGGAGCAAACAGG